GGGGCCAUAGCUCAGCUGGGAGAGCGCCUGCUUUGCACGCAGGAGGUCGGCGGUUCGAUCCCGCCUGGCUCCA
rnacentral:tRNA from 4 species